rnacentral:lncRNA from 1 species
GGGAAGAAUCCAGCGAGGGCCCGAGCCUCUGCCAGGGGCCCUCCCUGUCUCCAUCUGCGGCUGGGGGGCUGUGCUCUCCCACGAGUGCCCAGGCCGGGCAUCUGGCCCUGUGGGGCUCCCCGUCAAUCUCCUGGGAGCACCACAGGCCGACGGGGGUCCCAAGCAGGCCUCCCUCGUCCCUGUAGAGAGGCCUGCUCUGCCCAGAUCCCCAGAGCUAAUCUGGUGCCAGGAUCCCGCUCAGGUGUGAGGGACCGCAAGGGGGAUGUAGAGUUCUCAGGAGACAGAAUAUCUCCUCCUACCAGAAUGCCAUUAAUGCCUGAGAUUCUACCAUUAAAGAUUCCUUCUUCUGGCACAAAUCCUCCAGGUCCUAGUUCCCUUCAAGACAGCUCCAGUAAUGCCGGUUAACUGAAAAAUAAACUAAAAUGACAAGGUUCAGAGAGAUGAAGGAUGACUCCAAGCUAAGGUUUGAAUCCAAUUCUUUGUACUCCAAGUCCAAGGCUUUCCUCACUCCAUCAUAGGACUUCAAGCUGGGACUGUCAAGGUUGUAGCCAUAGAAACAUGCUGGGAGAGGGAGUAGAGACUGGCUCAGAGUCCCAUAACCAAUAAGGAGCAGAGCUGGGAUUUGAACCCAGGUCUUUGGGCCUCCUCUUUGGUGCUCUUUUUAUUACAGUUGGACCCCUACUGUAGCUAAUCUUGAAGAUCCCUUCCUACUAUGAUGGUAAGGUAGAAUGCAAAGGACACUGAAUUUGGAAUCAAAAGGCCUGUGCUGGAGUGAGUCCUGAUCAACUGAGUUACCUUGAGCAAUUCUGCUUUCCCUAUCUUGACCACAGUUUUCUCAUCUGUAAAAUGGGGAGGUUAACCCUUGCUCUGCCUCCCUCAAAGAGGUUUCAGAAGGAUCAAUAGUACAAUUAACUGACAUUUAGCUUUGCAAAGUAUUUUGUAUAAAUGACUUUGUGUGCACUCUAACUUGUUACAAAGGAGAGAGAACUUGGAGUCUAGAGGAUCUGGAUUCAAAUCCCAUCCUCCACUGAC